GGUUUCUUUACACUCGCUGGCAGGCUGGGUGCCGGAUCCCUCGCCCGCCCAGGAAAGUGGGUUACGGAGGGAAGAGGCUCAGCUCAGAUGCUGGCAAAGGAGCAUCCAGCCACAGAGACCAGAGAACACCUUCCUUUUUGCUGCCUCGUCUCCAUCCUUUCUAGAGGGUUUUAUAUUUGCACUCUCUCUUUUAAAAUUUUGUUUCUUUGACUUUUCCCCACCUCUGCUCUGGUUUUAUGAGGGCUUUGUUAAGUCUUAGACGGGAAAGAGACUGAGUGAGGGAAAGAAAGAGGCAAAGUGGAAAGGACCACAAAUUGGCAAAGCCUGUUCUGCUUUUGCUGUGGAUGAAAGUCCUCUGUUUGUAAAGCCCUCUCGGCGUGAGCAGCACGCGCACCCUCCAGAGUAGCCGGACCCUGCACCGCACCUCGGCGUGGCCACCAUGGUCGCCAGAGUUCAGCCUGAUCGGAAACAGUUGCCGCUAGUCCUACUGAGAUUGCUCUGCCUUCUUCCCACAGGACUGCCUGUUCGCAGCGUGGAUUUUAACCGAGGCACCGACAACAUCACCGUGAGGCAGGGGGACACGGCCAUCCUCAGAAUCCUUGAGAUAUGUCUGGUAUAUGGUUAUUAUCAGUGAAUGCUGCUGAAUGCAACGAAAUGUGUAUCAAAAAAUUGUAUGUAGGAAACACAUGGAAUAUUUGACUUGGAGGAUUCUUUCGAGAGAUCAGGAGCAGAGAAAGAAGACAGUGAAGCUGAAAAUUAAAACCUAUCCCAGUUUCUGGGCCACCACUUUGUAAGAAAGGUGAUUCUAAUGUACAGGCUGCUGAGGACAACUGAUUUAGUGGUUCCAUAAGCCAAGGCAGUUGAUGACUGAGAGAGAUGAAAUAAAGGAGCAUUCCUCAGAAUAAAAUGAUAAAGUGAGAGGCAACCUAUUCCUGAGUUGAGACCUGAGUAAGUAACCAGAGGAGGUGUGGAGGAUGGGCUUUCGUUCUUCUAAACACGUGACACAUCAUUUUAAAGACGAAGAUGGUAGAUUACUGUACAUUGCUGAGCAGAGACAGGCCAAAUAAUUCUCUGGUUUGACUAAUGAGUUUCUUCCCAAACAAGUGAAAUGGUUUUGUUCUUAUUUAACAAAAUCCCUUUACAUGGCUUGGUUUGAGGUUAGCAGGUUUAGCUCUCAGAUGAAGGAGGAAAGGACUAGUUAGCUUGCAGCUCCAGGCACCAACAUACUGAUGAGCCAAUUGUGACACGUAAUCAAUGUGUGAAAAGUGGGUAAUUCUCACUAAUGCCCUGCUAAUGUUUUCAGAAUGAUCUGUCAAAGGACUGAAGCUAAUUAUUGUCAUGGCAGUUUGGCCCAGGUCCACUGGAAUAAUCCUGGCAUCAGUGAACAAGAGCAUACCAUACGUUGCCAGUUUGUCACCCACUUUGAGUCUUUAUUCCUCUUUCUCCUCACAUAGAAAUCCUAUAUACCAUUUUCUAUAUUCUUUAAAAUAUGUAAUUACAUCCUUCAUUUCCCUUUCAUUUUCUUGUUUUCCAAGCUCCAUGCUUCAUCUUUUUUUUUUUCCCCCUACUUCCCUUUUCCUUUUUAUUGCAAAAAAUAUUGGAUGGUAACUCAAGAGUCCUAAAAUCUAAUCCUGGUUUUACUAUAAGAGCAAACUGUGUCAUACUCUCUGUGUCUGUUUAUAGGAAAGAAGGAGCAGAUAAGCUGUAAUAAAGGAACUAGGUAUGCAAUAGUGUCCUUUUGUUUGAAAAUAACAAAAUUCUGGAUUUACCUUGCAUGUCUGCUCUAUGUUUAGGUCCAUGGCAUCGUUUUUUUUAUCAAGUUUAUUUAUCACUACGAUGACUCAUUUCUGAACCAUGGGACAUCUAGUAAGCAGGGUACCUACUAGUAAUCAAUUGUGUAGGAAAUGGAGUUUAACCUGCUCUAGAAAUUUAAAGGCGGAGGGAAAACAUUGAGUCUUCAGGUACAAAGACAUACUCCCAGGUACAUAGCAAGGUGACACUGCCAUCUCCAAACUUUCUUGUAAGAUAGUUUUCUCUUGGAAUAAUUUUUCAUUAAUAAUCUCUUGAAUAAUAUCAUAGCAAUGCCUUGGAUCAGUAUAGCAUCUAGUGAUGGUCUCAGAUCUCUUCUCAUCUCAGUUUUAACAUCCCUGUGAAAUAGUUGGGGUGGAUAAUAAUUAUCCCUUCUUUGUUGAUGGAAAACUGGCAAAAGGAGAUUAAUAACAUUUAUAGUCAAAGUGAAUUUGCAUUAUGCAUUUUCCUUCUUAAGCAGUCUUCCCUGCAAGACUGUUCAUGUGUAUGUGUUUAUGUAUAUGUGAUGUGUUUACUUUUUUAGCAAACAGCAUAGUAAAGCGAUGCACAGUUUUUCACUUUUGAGCCAAGUUGAGAAACAGUGUAAUUUUUACUCCCAAAAGAGGCAAAAGCUGUAACAAGUAAGAAAUUUGGAGAUUAAAAAAAAAAAUUUUAAGUAUUUAAACAUUACCUUAGAGCAAAGAUCAGCAAACUUUUUCUAUAAAGGGAUAGAGAGUAAAUAUUUAGAUGUUGUAGGACACAAAUAUUAUCAGUUACAUACUCUUUUCUUAAAUUGCAACCCAACCCUUAACAAAAUUAAAAAAAUUAUUUUUAUUAUUAUUUUUUAAAUUUUUUUGUCUUUUUAGGGCCACACCCAUGGAAUAUGGACUUCCCCAGGCUAGGGGUCCAGUUGGAGCUGUAGCCACCAGCCUACACCAGAGCCACAACAAUACUGGAUCCGAGGUGCGUCUGCAACCUACACCACCACUUACGGCAAUGUUGGAUCCUUAACUCACUCAGUGAGGCCAGGGAUCAAACCUGAGUCAUCAUGGAUGCUAGUCAAGUUUGUUAACCAUUCAACCACAACAGGAACUCCUACAAAAUUUUUUUUUCUUGAAGACUUUAAAAGAAACAGGCCACAAGCCAGAUUUGGCCCUUGGGCCAUAGUUUGCCAAUCCCUGCCUUUGAGUCAUUCUCAUAUUGUGUAGUCCUAGGAGGUAGCUGCUAUUGAUAAUCCCAUUUUACAAAUGAGAAGACUGUGGAUAAUAAAGUAGAAUCAGUUACUUGUCCUACAAGUAAAGCCCGAAGUGUUCUCAGUGAAGUGUUGCUGCUACACACUAGGUAUCUCGUGGUGUGCUAAAAGGGCUCCAGGUGUAAAGAGUGUUACACAUGGGAAAGCCAGUGACUGUAGAAUGAGGAAUCGAAAAUUCCUAACCCAGAAGGAAUCCAGGGGAAACACACAGUUUGUGACAAUGAUUAGGUUUCUGUCUUUUAAUUCUGUAUUUUACCUGCACAUGAAUCCAGACUAUGAUGUUGCAUCAGGUUGUCCAUGUAUGACUGUUUUCCUUGCUUGUCAGAAUAUUUCUCCUCAACCUGGAUCCUCUCUUUAUCACAGAUCUUUUUAACUGUGCUGAUUCUUACCUAUGGUCAUGUUUUUUUUUUUUCUACUAUACUCUGACUUCCUUUAGAGGAUUCUUAAGUAUCAUUUCCAGUUGGAUAAACGUUUAUUUCCCUUCCACAUACCCACUUGAUCCAGAAAGACUUUGAUCUGAACAAUCUUCUAAUAAUAAAAAUCAUAUGCCACUUUUUUGCUUAGAAUUCAUGAUGGUCUUCCCAUAGCCUUUAACAAAUACCAUAUGAUAUCACUUACAUCUGGAAUCUAAUAUACGGCAGAAAUGAACCUUUCCACAGAAAAGAAAAUCAUGGACUUGGAGAACAGACUUGUGGUUACAAAGGAGGGAGUGGGAUGUAUUGGGAGUUUGGGGUUAAUAGAUGUGGACUCUUGCCUUUGGACUGGAUUGGCAAUGAGAUCCUGCUGUGUAGCACUGGUAACUAUGUCUAGUCACUUAUGAUGGAACAUGAUAAUGUGAGAAAAAAGAAAAUAUACAUGUAUGUGUGACUGGGUCACCAUGCUGUAUGGUAGAAAAAAUAAAUUAAAAAAAUUUGAAAGAAGGAAAAGCAAAAAAUAAAAUAAAAUCCAAAUUCCUGUCCCCGCCUACAAAAGCCACACAUGAACUGACUUUUUCUUAAUUUCCAAUAAUAUAUACUUUAUUCUCCAUGAUUCAGACCAACUGUACUCACUUGUUGAAAUGCCCAUCCCCAGAUCUCUGAGCCUGGGUCCUUCUUGUCUUUCUUACCUUCUCAAAGAGGUUGCCCUGGCCACGCACCUUAAUUACAGCAGACUGCUUGACUUCCCAGCAUGAUACUGAGAAUAGAUGAGAACAUAUCCUUGGUUAGAUCAAUUAAAAAUGAUCACCUUUGUUUAUUUAUAAUUAUCACAGCAAUUAAAUGUACAGUCAAUAAAUCCAAUUAAAUUGUUCACUGAUAGAGAUUUUUAUUUCUUUAAAAUCUUCCUGAUACAAUAACAACAUUCGGAAUGUCUGCAAACACACAAUGAUCUUCUCAGUAAGAAUGAACUCAUAUGAGGUAAGACUAUUUUUUGGUCUAAACAAUUUACUGAUGGAAAAAAGAACAGGCCAAGCAUAUGUCCUGUUACAUGUGUUACUUCUACCAUCUACACACUAUGUGACCUUGACCAAGGUAAUUUAACUUUGUCAAAUUCAAUUCAAUCAGCUGUAAAUUUAAACUGAUGCUAUUUAUCUUAUGGCCACAUCUACUAUACAGGCUAAGUGAGGUGGUCCUCUAAUUGAGGGGUUGGAGGGAGUUCCCAUGUCAACCUUAUUAUGAUGUUUACAAUUAUACCUGACAGUUAUUUAUUUCUAUAUAAUUAGUUUAAUUUUUGUCUAUACCACUAGAUUGCAAGUCUCAAGACAUCAGGGAAACUAUCUAUUUUGUAAGUCCCUGAAUCCUCAGCAUCUGAUUUAGUGCUAAACAGAAGACCCUUGAUAAAUGUUUAUCAAAUUAAUUAAUUAAGUUCUUAUAAAGAUCAAAUUUUAUUAAUUCUAAAAUCUGCUAAUAUGUAGUAUUAAACUGUUCUCUAUAGUAUUGUAACUGCUUCUCAUUCUUCUUUAUACCCACAGAAGGAACGUCAUGCCAGGGUGAGUGGGUAGUGAGAAAAUAUUUUUUGUAGAGGCUUCUGUCUAUGUCACUAUAAAAAGUCCCCUCAAAUUAGUGAGUCAGCACCAUUCUGGUUGUCUAACCUCAUAUAAUUCCUUGAAGAAAUAUUACAUUCGCCACCAGAAACAAUUUGUUAACCAGACCACUCACUUGGAACUGGGCCUGGUCAUGGGCCCCCAGGUUGAUUCUAUAGUCAUGAGUGUUGGUGUCCUUUAGGACAUUUGGUCCACCCCACACAGAGUAGAGGUUUAGAGGGCACUGUGAAAGGGAGAAACAGCCCUAGACAGAAACAGAAAUUCUCAGAAAGGCAUUCUGAAGUUUAGUUCCCCACUCCCACCCUAGCACAGGGACCAGGUUAUGCUUUCUGUGCUUUCUGGGCUCUCGGGUGGAAGAGUGAGUGUAGUUGACAUCUGGGGCAUGGUAAACUCAGAGAGAUGUGCUAAACUGAGUCCCUAAUUCUGGCUCCCAAGUAAGUAGUUAUUUUCAUGCCACUUGCAGUCUCUGUUUCCUUGUUGGUUACAGGAGACCAAUGGUGUUUUUCUAAUAAAUAAGUAUUAUAUGUGUAUCUCUGUGUUUGUGUGUUAUAGGUACCCAAUUCUUUAUGAAGAAGAAAGGGUUCUACAGAAUUUAAAUAUUAUUAGCAGUCAUGAAAAUCAUGAAACUAAAAGAAGUGAAUGGGCUAUAACUUUGAAGAAGAUAUAGGAUAGUGGCCAAUAAAUUCAAUAGGGUGGCAGUAUGUGUCUUUAAGCUGGUAGGGUAAAGAAAGAAGGAAUACAAGGUAAAGUUUGGACUUGUUUUCUUAGAAACAGUACAAGUAGAUAAGACAAAUUAUGCUGAUGGCUGUCUUAACAUACAGAGCCAAAGAGCUGGUUUUUAUUUAAUAUAUGUGGAGAGGUUAUUGAACACGGGACUGAUGGAGAAAAAUGUUUUAGAAAAAUUGAUUUGGCAUUAAGUGAUGGAUUAUAUAAAUAUUUAUAGGUGCUUAUUGACCCCACAGGGGCAUCUUUGAAAUGUGUUCUCCUUGUUUAAUUUCCUUUAAGUUUUAUUUUGGCAUCAGUAAAAAAUCUGGAGAUAGCUGAAUGUAUAAAUCAAAACAUUGCUCUUAUUAAUUAGAUGUAAGAACUGUGUUAAGAAAAAAUGCUUCAAAACAGAUUGACUGAUAGUACAGAAAUGUUCUUUCUUUGCAUAAACCCAUAGAACUAUGAACAACAAAAAUUAAACUACGGUUUUCAUGAAGUAUUUGUGCAGUUUCAAGGAUAAAACUCUAAUCCCAUUACAGUCCCUUGAUGUAAGAGUUGUUGUUACUCUAUUUUGUCUUUUGUUUUUGAAACAUCAGAUUAAGUUCUGGUGUGGCCUGCUAAAGGAAAAUAUUUUGUCAUUGUAAUAAGAAGGAAUUCUUUUUCAUUACACGUUUUAUCCAAAAUGAGAGACGCAAGAUUUUUGUUUUGGAGAAGUAGGUAAUUAGGUUCAAGAAUAGCCUAAUGUCAAUAUUUAAAAGUAAUCCGCCCAAUGGGUGUUUUACUUCAUUGUGAUUGUAUUUAUCAGAAUUCAGAGUAUUCUUUAUAAGGAAUUGAUAAGAUACAUUCAAUAGUAGCACCUCUCCAACAAUUAUGGAUUGUAGUCUAAAAAGCUGUUGACAGACAUUCUAAUUAUUCUAAAUUUCUAAAGAAUGAAUUCUGCUAUAUUAUUAGCAAAACUCACUAAAUAUUAAUGAGCUUAGUGUAGUGUUGCAG
rnacentral:lncRNA from 1 species